UACGUAGGGUGCAAGCGUGUCCGAAUUGAUUGGCGUAAAGGGCUCGUAGGCGGUCCAUCGCGUCGGGAGUGAAAAGCUGGGGCUCAACCCCAGUCCUGCUCCGAUACGGUGGACUAGAGGUAGGCAGGGGAGAACGGAAUUCCGUGGUGUAGCGGUGAAAUGACGCAGAUAUCAGGAGGAACACCGGUGGCGAAGGCGGUUCUCUGGGCCUUACCUGACGCUGAGGAGCGAAAGCGUGGGGAGCAAACAGG
rnacentral:rRNA from 1 species